rnacentral:rRNA from 1 species
GGAAUCUUCCACAAUGGACGAAAGUCUGAUGGAGCAACGCCGCGUGAGUGAAGAAGGGUUUCGGCUCGUAAAACUCUGUUGUUAAAGAAGAACAUAUCUGAGAGUAACUGUUCAGGUAUUGACGGUAUUUAACCAGAAAGGAACGGCUAAACACGUGCCAG